rnacentral:hammerhead_ribozyme from 1 species
GCACUGCCGACGAGUCCCAAACAGGACGAAAUAGCUGACCAGUGC